AGAGUUUGAUCCUGGCUCAGGACGAACGCUGGCGGCGUGCCUAACACAUGCAAGUGGAGCGACGGACCAGGGCUUGCCCUGGGGCCAAGCCGCGAACGGGUGAGUAACACGUGGGUAACCUGCCCCGAUGACCGGGACAACCCGAGGAAACUCGGGCUAAUACCGGAUGUGCUCGCAGCACUCAAGUGCGGCGAGCAAAGGAAGCUUCGGCCUCCGCUUCGGGAGGGGCCCGCGGCCCAUUAGCUUGUUGGUGAGGUAACGGCUCACCAAGGCUGCGAUGGGUAGCUGGUCUGAGAGGACGAUCAGCCACACUGGGACUGAGACACGGCCCAGACUCCUACGGGAGGCAGCAGUGGGGAAUCUUGCGCAAUGCGCGAAAGCGUGACGCAGCAACGCCGCGUGGGGGAAGAAGGCCUUCGGGUUGUAAACCCCUUUCAGGAGGGACGAAGGUGCGGCGGCGAACAGCCGACCGUACUGACGGUACCUCCAGAAGAAGCCCCGGCUAACUACGUGCCAGCAGCCGCGGUA
rnacentral:rRNA from 1 species